AGAUUCCGGAGAGGGAGCCUGAGAAACGGCUACCACAUCUACGGAGGGCAGCAGGCGCGCAAAUUACCCAAUCCUGACACAGGGAGGUAGUGAACAGCAAUAGCAGCGCAGUGCGAAAAGCUCUGCGACUGGAAUGAGUAAGAUUUAAAUCCCCUUACGAGUAUCAAUUGGAGGGCAAGUCUGGUGCCAGCAGCCGCGGUAAUUCCAGCUCCAAUAGCGUAUAUUAAAGUUGUUGCAGUUAAAAAGCUCGUAGUUGAAUUUCUGUCAAAUUUCUUAUGUUGGUGCAUACGUACAUAACAUAAGAAAUUGACAACCUUUCUUUUGAUCUCUCACUUGUGGGAGGUACAAUCGGACAUUUACUUUGAGAAAAUUAGAGUGUUUCAAGCAGGCAUACGCCU
rnacentral:rRNA from 1 species